rnacentral:rRNA from 1 species
AUGCAGUCGAGCGAUGAAACCCUUCGGGGUGAAUUAGCGGCGGACGGGUGAGUAACACGUGGGUAACCUGCCUCAAAGAGGGGAAUAGCCUCCCGAAAGGGAGAUUAAUACCGCAUAAUAUGUUUUAGUCGCAUGACUUAGACAUCAAAGGAUUUUCUUCGGAGAUUCCACUUUGAGAUGGACCCGCGGCGCAUUAGCUAGUUGGUGAGGUAACGGCUCACCAAGGCAACGAUGCGUAGCCGACCUGAGAGGGUGAUCGGCCACAUUGGAACUGAGACACGGUCCAGACUCCUACGGGAGGCAGCAGUGGGGAAUAUUGCGCAAUGGGGGAAACCCUGACGCAGCAACGCCGCGUGAAUGAUGAAGGCCUUCGGGUUGUAAAGUUCUGUCUUCUGGGACGAUAAUGACGGUACCAGAGGAGGAAGCCACGGCUAACUACGUGCCAGCAGCCGCGGUAAUACGUAGGUGGCAAGCGUUGUCCGGAUUUACUGGGCGUAAAGGAUGCGUAGGCGGACAUUUAAGUCAGAUGUGAAAUACCCGAGCUUAACUUGGGUGCUGCAUUUGAAACUGGGUGUCUAGAGUGCAGGAGAGGUAAGUGGAAUUCCUAGUGUAGCGGUGAAAUGCGUAGAGAUUAGGAAGAACACCAGUGGCGAAGGCGACUUACUGGACUGUAACUGACGCUGAGGCAUGAAAGCGUGG